AGGAUAUUUUGAGAGGACCCAAGGUGUUGGAGCCCUGGCAGCUUCUCCAGCUAGCCACACUGGACCUCAAUGGAGGCUUUGGUCUGUGCUUUCUCUGAGCUGCGAAUAAGAGAAGAUGCAGUGAGCCUGACUUUGGGCUGCCCAGGCAGCGCCGACACUCCCCCCAACAUCUACGAGGGGGGCCUGGGGGCCCGGAGGCAGCAGUGCCCCAGCCCACCAGGCAGCAAGCCCAAGAACUUCCGUCUUCGUCACCUUCGAAGCCUGGCACUCUAUCUGCCCAGCAGCAUGCAACCUGCCGGCCAGUGCGAGAGCCACUGGCUGGGGAGGCUAAUGGCAGGGGGCUGCCUCCCACGGGUGGGGCCCCUGCUCAAGGGCGGGGCAUGGGCCCUCGAUCUUCCUGGCCCUCUGAGCUCUACCAGCCACCCCCUGGAUUCACCAGGUCCCCAACCACCCAGGGAGAACCUAGGGAGUACAGACACCCAAGGUCCCAGGCCUUUUUCCUCUUGUGACCUCCUUGUGACCUCCCAACCAUGGCCUGAGCAGAUCUGAGCCUAAGAGACCCAUAAUUCUUUCCCCUAGACCCCAGCUUCCAGCUCCAGCACCGACCCAACCAAGGGUGCCCUCUCCCAGCCCCGGCCACCCGAGGGCUCAGGCUUCAGGCCCAAGAGGUCUUGGGGAGCCUUAGAGGAGUCAACAUGUCCUAUGUGCAAGAGGACCCGGCCCGGGGCCCAGAAGAGGCCAUAGGGCGGUCCCAGGCAGCGGGGCUGGUUUCCCCAGCUCUGGGGGCAGGUGGAGGGAAUGGCCUGAGGCUACAGGUCCCCGGGAGAACAGCCUCCCUCCAGACUCUCCAAGAUCCCCCUGGCAAGCAGCCCUCCGGGAUGCCAAGACAGCUGAGGAAGUUCCCUCGGAGGGAAGUCCGACUGGGGUCUCAGGGAAGUGAGAGGAGAGGGAAGAGGUUCUCGCCUGAGGGUCGGAGAAAGGAGAAGCAGGGGCGGUGGUCCAAGCAGCCCGGGCACACAUUACAUACUCUAUUGCCUCGGAAAUGGUGUCGAAGGCAGAUAAUCCCAGUCAAGCAGGCCUGGGAACCAGCAGGUCCUACAUCUGAAUAAAGGGAGAGGCUUGGCUCCAGUUGGUCGGUCAAUGCUGGGGGCUCGGGCUUCCAUUGAUCCCCAAUAGGAAGAAGCUGCUGUGAAUGGGAAAGGGAAAAUCUGCUGCAACCUCUUCUUUAGCCACAUAUAUUAGCAACAAGCAAGCUGUGAGGUGAUGCCUGCAGGUGUCAUAUGCCAACACUCCAUCUACCCAGAAAAAGGGUCAAGUUAAAAGGAUAUGGGCAUUACUCCUCUCUGGAAUUCUACCUACCUUAAUUGGGGCUACUCAGCAGCUUCUGUGAACAAGGAUAUAUGGGGUGUCCUCCUGUCUCCAACUCUACCCUACCAACAUGGAUGGCCUGCUGGGCACCAGACUCUUGAGAGCUAUUUGAGUGAGGUGGGCUAACAGGAGUAAUACCCAAUGUGCCACCUUGGAAAUUAGUCUUCUUGCCAAGGACACUUGAAUUAGGUGGAAUUUGUAGCAAACUGUGUUGUAUGAGGUUCCUCUGUCUUCAAAUAUCUCCCCCACAUGCCUACUAAAGUGUCUUAAAUUCCAGCCUU